UCUCUCUCUCUCUCUCUCUAUUUGUCCAUCUCGUCAAUUCCCCUGAGCAAAUUCCUAGGGUUUUCUCUUUCCUCUUUCGCUCUCUCCUCGUUGUGAGAUUUCUAGGGUUUCUCUUUCCUUUUGACGGCGAUUUUUCUAUUGGAAAAAAAGAAAAAAGAAAAAAAAAGAAGAAAAAAGCACGGAGAUUAAAACAAAAAGAGAAUUCUUUGGGAUUUUUUUCUGGGGUUUUGUUUUCCCCAUCAUCAUCAGCUAGAUCUGUUUUUAGGGUUUCGCUUUGAAGCUGUGAGAUUUAUUUAAUUUAAUUUUUUGGUCUUUCUUGAUUGAAAUCGAAGAUUGUGCUUUGAGUCCUGAGUGUUUAGCGUCUUUUCUGGGAUUAGGGUUUUCCUUCUGGGAUUAGGGUUUUGAUUUCUGCAUCUAGGGUUUCUUGAUUUUGGAAUCAGGGUUUCGAUUGGGGGUUUCUGUUGUUUUGGUUGGAUUAGGGUCGCGGAGUAGAUGGCGGCCGGGAGGCAUGGAGGCUUCCGCGACCACGAACCCAUGGACCGGGAAUCGGAUCUCAGGGCCUCAAGACGGAGGGAUUUCUAUAAGGAGGAGUACAGCCGCUUUCGAGAUGGUGCCCAGGAGCGUGGCCGUAACCGUGGAAUAGGUGAUCUUGAGCAGGAAAAGGAUUACCACAGGGAUGAUAGGGUUAGGGUUAGGCAGCGGGAUAUUAAGGAGAGGGAGACCGUGAAUGGUGGGUACCGUUCUUCGUCCAGCAUGAGUGAUUCGGGUAGCAGCGGCAAUAGUCGUAGGCCAGUUGGGUUUUCUGUUAGAAUGGCGGACCGAGAGCCAGGUGAGUUAUCGAGUGGAAGCGAAUCGGAUGACGUGGAAGUCUCAGAACCGCAGGUUAGAGAUAAUGGAAAUUGGAAGUCUGAAAAUGGGGCACUGUCACCACUGGGAAGAAAGAGGAAGUUUUCUCCAAUUGUGUGGGAUAGAGAAGAGAAGCAAGUGAGCAUUUCAUCUAGAAGUAAAACUACUGACUCGGCAGGUGUUCCCCUUCCACCACCUCCGCCACUGCCUCAAGGUUUCCGCCGUUCGCCUUAUCCAAAUCUGAGUGACCUUGUGCAUCCGUCUCCUGUGAAAUCUGACAGCUUUAGCAGCAAGCAGUCAUUGCAUCUGGUCGAGCCUCUGAUGGAACCUGUGUUAGCAGGCUCUGCUGCAUUAGAAUCUCCAUAUGGGUCUUCCCCGGCUCCAUCUCAUGAGGUUCAUUGGAGCAAUAAUCAUGAACCUGGGCAGCUAGAAGAUGAAGACUAUGCUCCAACGCGGAAUAUCUCGGCGUCUCGAUGGGCGGAUGAGAACAAUUCUCCUAAGGAUGAAGGUGAAGUUUCAGAUGAGGAAGCCAUGCUCAAAAGGAGGAAAAAGAUGCCUGUGGGUGAUUUGGUGGACAUGAGACUGAACACCAAGGUGCCAAGUCCGGAGCUCGGAGAACUUAUAAGAGAAGGUUCUGAGGGAGCUCGAGUCAAGCCUGACUCUGAGAAAGAAGGUCGCCGCAUUGUACCAGCCAGUGAAGAUGAAUACCAGGAAAUAGACUUGGAUAAGAACGAUUUCAUGGAGGUUGAUGAGGAAGAUGUGAAUGAUGAUGAUACUGGUGACCAGGCAGAAAUGGAUUCUGAAGAGGAAAAUGAUUCCAUUAAGACACCGGAGCCAACGCCACCCCUCCAAAGAAGCAUAAACAUGUUACAGGGUUGUAGGAGUGUUGAUGAGUUUGAGAGAUUGAACAAGAUAGACGAAGGCACAUACGGCGUGGUUUAUAGAGCCAAGGAUAAAAAGACCGGGGAAAUUGUAGCCUUGAAGAAGGUAAAGAUGGAGAAAGAAAGAGAAGGUUUCCCACUGACAUCUCUAAGAGAAAUUAACAUUCUAUUGUCAUUUUAUCACCCAUCAAUUGUAGAUGUUAAGGAAGUUGUUGUAGGUAGCAGCCUUGAUAGUAUUUUCAUGGUUAUGGAGUACAUGGAACAUGAUCUGAAAGGGCUGAUGGAAACGAUGAAACAGCCUUUUAGCCAGAGUGAAGUUAAGUGCCUAAUGCUACAGCUUUUGGAAGGUGUUAAAUAUCUUCAUGACAACUGGGUGCUUCACAGGGAUUUGAAGACCUCAAAUCUUCUGCUGAAUAAUCGCGGUGAGCUGAAGAUUUGUGACUUUGGAUUAUCUCGCCAAUAUGGGAGCCCUUUGAAGCCUUAUACUCACUUGGUUGUCACUCUAUGGUACAGGGCACCUGAACUUCUAUUGGGAGCAAAGCAAUAUUCAACAGCUAUUGACAUGUGGUCGCUAGGUUGUAUAAUGGCAGAACUUUUAGCGAAGGAACCGUUAUUCAAUGGGAAAACUGAAUUUGAUCAGCUUGACAAGAUAUUCCGAACUCUGGGCACACCAAGCGCAAAGAUAUGGCCGGAGUUUGUUGAAUUGCCUGGGGUCAAGGUCAACUUUGUAAAGCAGCCGUAUAACAAGCUGCGUGAUAAGUUCCCACCCACAUCUUUCUCUGGACGCCCAACCCUUUCUGAGGCUGGAUUUGACUUAUUGAACAAACUGCUUACAUAUGACCCUAAAAAGCGGAUAACAGCAGAAGCUGCUCUUAACCAUGAGUGGUUCCGUGAGGUCCCUCUGCCCAAAUCAAAGGAUUUUAUGCCAACAUUUCCUGCUCAACAUGCUCAAGACAGGCGCCUACGAAGAAUUAUGAAGAGUCCAGAUCCAUUAGAAGAACAGCGGAGGAAAGAGUUGCAACAAGGGGAAUUAGGCACUGGUGGCCUGUUUGGCUAAGUGAGAUGAUUUGGUUUACAGUUUCACUUCAGCUCUGCGGGUCCGGUUUUCACAUGAACCAUUUCUGACUGAAGCCUAUGAGGUGAGAGAUAUGCCUUGCAUGCGAAGUUGGAAACUCUGUUAGUGUGAGACGACAAUUGAUGCUAUUCUUUAGCAGGCACCCCAGACGAUUUUGGGUGGAGAAAGAAACUCUCAUCAUUUCUGCAAUCAAGCCAAUUUUGUUGCAGGAUAUCCUAUCCUCCAGCUUCAGUGAUCAUUAAAUGUGCAUCCUUUACGCAGCUUGCCCCAUAAGAGGCGAUUGGUGUGAAGCGGAGGGACAUUCUUUUCUAUUUGUAGUACCUGAAGAACUGGCGGAAAACUUUCUACAACAAAGUAUCAGAGCAAGCAGGUUGAAGUGGGAGAUGAAAUUUACAUAUCUAUCAUUCAGGGGUUACAAAAUUGCAGUUGUGUCUUUUCACUAAGAUAUAGAGUUAAUUGGUUAUGAACAGGGUGAUGGAGGCAGCGUUAGUCUGCACAUUCAACUUACGGGGCCGGCUGUCCUGCCUGAUAUUUGAGGCGGACGGGAGCUGUUGAAAAAUGCUAAAGGGUUAAAAGAGGAUGUGCAAGCCCCUUGUUGGUUUGUCCUUUAUGGGAAGCUUGUUGUUGUUGAGCCCAUGUACUAAAACAUUUCUUCUGCUCUGCAUCAGCUGUCAUGAGAUAUCUGUCAGGGGACGCAGAGUGCCUAGUGAUCUUGGGGUAGACAUGAUGUCGGGGGGGAUUUGGUUGGGAUACAAGUUGCUGUCAGAGAUGGGGGCCAUGCAAAACAUGUUUGACAUACUCGACUGGGCCCCAUCUCUGAGCAGCAGCACAAGGCCCAAUCAAAUCCCACCACGUUGGGUCACCAGGUAAUCCCCUUCCCCUGUCUGAGUCAGUUGUGUUGUCUCCUUAAUUCUACUGAUGGCCAGAGUAAGUUGUGUAUUUGCUCUCUCUCUCUCUCUCUCUCUCUCUCUCUCUCUCUCUCAAUGAAGAAAUUCUUUCGAAUACAA